AGUGAACGCUGGCGGUAGGCCUAACACAUGCAAGUCGAACGGCAGCACAGUAAGUGCUUGCUAUUACGGGUGCCGAGUGGCGGACGGGUGAGGAAUACACCGGAAUCUACUUUUUCGUGGGGGAUAACGUAGGGAAACUUACGCUAAUACCGCAUACGACCUACGGGUGAAAGCAGGGGAUCUUCGGAUGUUGCGCGAUUGAAUGAGCCGAUGUCGUAUUAGCUAGUUGGCGGGGUAUAGGCCCACCAAGGCGACGAUCGGUAGCUGGUGUGAGAGGAUGAUCCGCCCCACUGAGACUGAGAGACGGUCCAGACUCCUACGGAAGGCAGCAGUGGGGAAUAGUGGAGAAUGGGCGCAAGCCUGAUCCAGCCAUGCCAGGUUGGUGAAGAGGGCCUUCGUGUUGUAAAGCCGUUUUGUUGGUAAAGAAAAGCAGCAGGUUAAUCCCACGUCGUUCUGACGGUACCCAAAGAAUAAGCACCGGCUAACUUCGUG
rnacentral:rRNA from 1 species